rnacentral:sRNA from 1 species
ACUAUAUGAUGUUCUGCUAAAAAAGCGACGUCCUGUCGCAACGCAGAACCUAGCACAUUCUUGUGCG